rnacentral:rRNA from 1 species
AGAGUUUGAUCCUGGCUCAGGAUUAACGCUAGCGGCAGGCCUAAUACAUGCAAGUCGAACGGGAUUUCGGUUAGCAAUAACUGGAUGAGAGUGGCGCACGGGUGCGUAACACGUAUGCAACCUACCUAUAACUGGGGGAUAGCCUCCCGAAAGGGAGAUUAACACCGCAUAACAUUAUGAAGUGGCAUCACUUUAUAAUUAAAUCUACGGAGGUUAUAGAUGGGCAUGCGUCCGAUUAGCUAGUUGGUGAGGUAACGGCUCACCAAGGCUCCGAUCGGUAGGGGGUCUGAGAGGAUGAUCCCCCACACUGGUACUGAGACACGGACCAGACUCCUACGGGAGGCAGCAGUAAGGAAUAUUGGACAAUGGGCGCAAGCCUGAUCCAGCCAUGCCGCGUGAGUGAAGAAGGCCUUCGGGUUGUAAAGCUCUUUCGGCGGGAACGAAACGGUCCAUGCCAACACCAUGGACUAAUGACGGUACCCGAAGAAGAAGCACCGGCUAACUACGUGCCAGCAGCCGCGGUAAUACGUAGGGUGCAGGCGUUAAUCGGAAUUACUGGGCGUAAAGCGUGCGCAGGCGGUUUCUUAAGUCAGAUGUGAAAGCCCCGGGCUCAACCUGGGAACUGCGUUUGAAACUGGGAGACUCGAGUAUGUCAGAGGGGGGUGGAAUUCCACGUGUAGCAGUGAAAUGCGUAGAGAUGUGGAGGAACACCGAUGGCGAAGGCAGCCCCCUGGGAUAAUACUGACGCUCAUGCACGAAAGCGUGGGGAGCAAACAGGAUUAGAUACCCUGGUAG